rnacentral:tRNA from 2 species
GCAGUCGUGGCCGAGUGGUUAAGGCGAUGGACUAGAAAUCCAUUUGGGGUCUCCCCGGACAGGCUCGAAUCCUGUCAACUGCG